rnacentral:rRNA from 1 species
GAUGAACGCUAGCGGGAGGCCUAACACAUGCAAGCCGAGCGGUAUUGUUUCUUCGGAAAUGAGAGAGCGGCGUACGGGUGCGUAACACGUGUGCAACCUGCCUUUAUCUGGGGGAUAGCCUUUCGAAAGGAAGAUUAAUACUCCAUAAUAUAUUGAACGGCAUCGUUUAAUAUUGAAAGCUCCGGCGGAUAGAGAUGGGCACGCGCAAGAUUAGCUAGUUGGUGAGGUAACGGCUCACCAAGGCGAUGAUCUUUAGGGGGCCUGAGAGGGUGAUCCCCCACACUGGUACUGAGACACGGACCAGACUCCUACGGGAGGCAGCAGUGAGGAAUAUUGGUCAAUGGGUGCAAGCCUGAACCAGCCAUCCCGCGUGAAGGACGACUGCCCUAUGGGUUGAAAACUUCUUUUGUAUAGGGAUAAACCUACCCUCGAGAGGGUAGCUGAAGGUACUAUACGAAUAAGCACCGGCUAACUCCGUG